rnacentral:ncRNA from 1 species
AAUUUAAUUAAGAAUAUAUUAUAACCGUGUGCAGAAGGCAUAACCAACCUGCACGGGCAUGACGGAACUGCCUAGUUGUCGCAUCAAGGAUACUUGAGUUCGGCAGCUAUUCCUUCAAAGAGAUGCGAGGGGAAAAGAAAGACACUUUCAAUGGAGAAGUCAUGGCAUCGGUAUAAUAUAGGUUGUAAAACAGACUGACCUAACUCUUUCCGCAAUAGACGCCCUAGUUGGGAAUAACCCUGUAGACCACGCCUGCAAAGUGUGAGCCAAUGCAGGGAACGCACAAUAAGGAAAGACCUCUGCUCGGGGGACUGGAGAAAUCCUGUUUGUUAGAAAGUAGUACAAGUAGCUCAAGAGUAGAUAUAUGGCAAGAAUUAUACAUUUAUCUGAACGGUGGGUGAAAGUUGGGGGUACCAAUCCCCUUGGUGCUAGUCAGCGGCAAGAAGUUAUAGGGUAGCUCCCUAUGGCUCAGACUUGUCGUCACCAUGGUUGAAUAACAAUUAUAUUAUAUCUGGUAGGGCGAACAAAAACCCAUACUAUGUUCUUAAUUAAA